AGGAAAUCCGGCAAACAGGGGCAGCUGUCACUAAUAGAAGGAGACACGACAGUUGGGGUCAUGUGCGUUAUAGAAGGAGACACGACAGUUGGGGUCAUGUGCAACGCACAUGACCCAUUUAGGCAUGGAGAUGUUAGGGUUAACAGCGUUAGCCACAAUUUCUUCUCUUCUCAAACACACACAGCCCAGCCUCACGCCUCUCUCUCAUCUCCUCCACCUUUGUUUUCUGAGCAAACUCAGACCGGCGAGAUCUUGUGAGGCGAAAUCGACGGCGGCCGCGUGCAGCAGCCGCCGAUCUCACCGGACAACUGACAGCCCCUCUCUCUUAUUUUUUAAAUUAGAAAGAAACCUGGUUUAUAAUAAGAGACAGACUAGUCUAAAUCUAAAUCUAAUACACAGACACAGCCGCAAAGCAAAGCAAAGCAACGCUACUAUGGGAUUCGGACAUUGUCUUUCCCUGCCGAUAGUCCGCCACCUCUACCGGUGAUUGUGGCUGCCAAGCUUGCCGGCCUUGCUCUUCCAAUCGAUACUUCCCUACCUCCUAACUCUGCUCCCACGCUUCUCUUCUCUAAUGGGCAUAAAUUACAUGGAACAUAUGUGCUUCUUCGCUAUAUUGCUCGUGUUGCUAGCCUUCCCAAUUUCUAUGGACAGAAUGCAUAUGAAUCUGGCCAGAUUGAUGAGUGGCUAGAAUAUGCCCCCGUCUUUUCAUUGGGUCCUGCAUUUGAGAAAAUUUAUGUGAUGGUAGUAGUUGGAGCAGCCAAAUUGAAAAGGAAGUUUCAACUACUCAUGACUCUGAAAUAUAACCACUUCAUUCCCAAGUUUUGUUUUCCACUUGCAAGUUGAUGACACCUGAGUUUCUAGCUGACAUCAAGUUGAUAGUAUUUAGCUGGAAGAGCUUGCUUUUCUCUUACUGCCAAUGUAGCUGGACUGGAAGUGCUUGGUUGGACCAUUUUAGCUUUUGCCCAAAUGGGUCUGAGCUAUUUGUUUGUUGGUUGGUCUCACUGGGAAUUAGAGAGGAAAGGAAUUCUCUGGCAUUUCACCAUACUUGUGGUCAAAUUGAGUUUGUGCUACUAGCACUUUGAGAGUAAAGCAGAAAAAUUUGUAAAGUAUAUAAUGACUUGCAGAUGAGGUGAAACUAAAAGCAGAAGUGCAGAAAAUUGAUUGGAAAUUGUAGCCUUGGCUUCCCUCAAUUAUUAUUUUUAUUUUUAUUUUUAUUUUUUGUAAAAAGUGGCUUUUUUUCCUCUUUUGCAUAACCAGUGGCACUUAGUUGGUGAUUUGUGUACAAGUGCAUGGUAGCAUUGAUGUUUUUCAGCAGACUAUCUUUGAUGAUGUAAUGAAUGGAAAUGUAAUGAAUGGAAAGUGUUAUUGAUCGUGUAUUUUUCAAGCUAUGUUGUGUUAUUAUUGUGAGGCAAAUGAGCCUUUUUAAACAAA